GAUGAACGCUGGCGGCGUGCCUAAUACAUGCAAGUCGAGCGGACAGACGCGGAGUUUGUUGGUCUGUCGUUAGGGGCAGACGGGUGAAUAACACGUGUAAACCCUCCUUAACUUUCGGGUAUAACUUGGAAACACGGGAGCUAAUACGGGAUGAGAUAUUGAACCACGUGGGGGAGUGGAAAAUUUCGGCGGUGGGGGCUGGUAUCGCGGGUUAUCCGCUGGAUGGGGAGGUUGUGGAUGACAAGGGGUUUGACGGGUAGGCGGCCUGGGAGGGUGGCCGGCCACAUUGGUACUGAGAUACGGCGCAGACUGCUACGGGAGGCAGCAGUGGGGAAUAUUGCGGAAUGGGCGGAAGCCUGAUGCAGCAAUGCCGCGUGCGGGAUGACGGCCUUCGAGUUGUAAACCGCUUUCGCCUGUGACGAAGCGUGAGUGACGGUAAUGGGUAAAGAAGCACCGGCUAACUACGUG
rnacentral:rRNA from 1 species